AACGAACGCUGGCGGCAUGCCUAACACAUGCAAGUCGAACGAGACCUUCGGGUCUAGUGGCGCACGGGUGCGUAACGCGUGGGAACCUGCCCUUAGGUUCGGAAUAACUCCCCGAAAGGGGUGCUAAUACCGGAUAAUGUCUUCGGACCAAAGAUUUAUCGCCUUUGGAUGGGCCCGCGUUGGAUUAGCUAGUUGGUAGGGUAAAAGCCUACCAAGGCGACGAUCCAUAGCUGGUCUGAGAGGAUGAUCAGCCACACUGGGACUGAGACACGGCCCAGACUCCUACGGGAGGCAGCAGUGGGGAAUAUUGGACAAGGGGCGAAAGCCUGAUCAAGCAAUGCCGCGGGAGUGAUGAAGGCCUUAGGGUUGUAAAGCUCUUUUACCCGGGAUGAUAAUGACAGUACCGGGAGAAUAAGCUCCGGCUAACUCCGUG
rnacentral:rRNA from 1 species